UUAAUUUCACCUACCAAUUAUUAAAAAAUUUUGUUUUUAUAAGAGAGUUAGAUGAGAGCUACAACUAAAUUGGGUAGAGAGGGUUGUAUAAAUUUUUUAUUAGGAUUGGAGUAGAAAAUGGUCCUUAUAUCUGUUCAAAUCAAUUUAGAUUCUCCUUUUCAUAUCACCUACUUUCACUUUCUACGUACCUUAAUAAUUGUACAAUAGAGCGAUACUUGAGAGAGGAAAAUGUUUUUUUAAGCAGGGAUAGGGCAGAGAGAUGUACGUGAAAUAUUUCCAAAGAUUACCCGUCAACCUCGUAAUAGAUUUUUCACCCUUCACUGUGCGUAAUGAAUUUCGUGAUUUUUGGGAAAUCUCACGUAAUCUUGCGUAAUGUCUUUCCAUUUCCUUAUUAUUAAAAGGAACAAAAGUGGUGAUGGUCCCUAAGGACCAUAAUGCUCAUAUGGACC
rnacentral:lncRNA from 1 species